ACGUCAGUCACCAGCACCUUGGCUCUAGACUGAUUACUGUGUGUGUGUGUCUGAGUAACAGUCUACAGUCAUGGCUACUGAGGGUUGGC
rnacentral:pre_miRNA from 13 species